rnacentral:rRNA from 1 species
UACACUCCUGCGGGAGGCAGCAGUGGGGAAUAUUGCACAAUGGGCGCAAGCCUGAUGCAGCCAUGCCGCGUGUAUGAAGAAGGCCUUCGGGUUGUAAAGUACUUUCAGCGGGGAGGAAGGCGAUAAGGUUAAUAACCUUGUUGAUUGACGUUACCCGCAGAAGAAGCACCGGCUAACUCCGUGCCAGCAGCCGCGGUAAUACGGAGGGUGCAAGCGUUAAUCGGAAUUACUGGGCGUAAAGCGCACGCAGGCGGUCUGUCAAGUCGGAUGUGAAAUCCCCGGGCUCAACCUGGGAACUGCAUUCGAAACUGGCAGGCUAGAGUCUUGUAGAGGGGGGUAGAAUUCCAGGUGUAGCGGUGAAAUGCGUAGAGAUCUGGAGGAAUACCGGUGGCGAAGGCGGCCCCCUGGACAAAGACUGACGCUCAGGUGCGAAAGCGUGGGGAGCAAACAGGAUUAGAAACCCGUGUAGUCC